rnacentral:lncRNA from 1 species
UUUCUCUGUUGCCUUCUCCUUAAUAAUGUUAUUGUUUAACGUUUUGAUACCAUUAAAAUAUUGCAAGAGGCAGAAGUACACAAAAAAGGAGCAAAGUUGAGAUACUAGCCAUCAUCUGAAGAAAGAAGAUAGCAUCAGUCAUAUGAUGCAGCUAUUUCAAAUCAUUAGAUUUACCUGUGCAUUUGGGUACCCGAGGUUAAACUCUAAAACAAGCAUGAUGGCUCCAUAUUACGAGAGUGGUUGUUUUUACAACCAGAGGAGGCGAUAAACCAAGCAAUUAGGAACGAGGGAAACCUAUUUUAUGGUGCAGUUGAUCGUUAUUCUUCC